rnacentral:misc_RNA from 1 species
UCCGGUUUAACACCGGCAGUCUCCGUAGAGUGCCCAACUAAAUGGUGGCAACUACGGACAAGGGUUGCGCUCGUUAAGGGACUUAACCCGACAUCUCACGAUACGAGCUGACGACAGCCAUGCAGCACCUGUCUCCCAGUCCCCGAAGGGAAAGCCCUAUCUCUAGGGAUGUCUGGGGAUGUCAAACCCUGGUAAGGUUCUUCGCGUUGCAUCGAAUUAAACCACAUGCUCCACCGCUUGUGCGGGCCCCCGUCAAUUCCUUUGAGUUUUAACCUUGCGGCCGUACUCCCCAGGCGGCGAACUUAACGCGUUAGCUUCGACACUGAGAGCCUAAUUGCUCCCAACGUCCAGUUCGCAUCGUUUAGGGCGUGGACUAC